UUCCGCCUCCUUAUAUCCAACCCUUUACCUCUCACCAUUUCUGUUUACUAAUCUCUUAAUUUCUAUUUAAAUUUUGUUAAUCUUUUUGUGUUUUUAUGUGCGUCGAAAUACUGAUUACCAGCGCCAGAGAUUUAAUCGGCGUUGCGUAUGAGCCGACGCCAUAUUUAUCUCUACCUGCUUCUGCUUCUGCUUCAACUUCUCGAUCGGAGCUCGCUCGUUUCGAGCUUUAAUCUUUCAGAACUGGAGAAAUUUCGUUCAAUUUCGUAAUUGCUUUUCAAAAUUUUGGCUUUGUUUUCUUAUCUUAAAUGUUUUCUUUGGAGAUGGAAGUGAUGCAUUUUUCCCCAGAUGAUUCGACGCUGAAAUAACUGAGCGCUCCUUUAUUUUCUUCCAUUCCGAGAAAAUUCAAGCCAAAAGUCUGAUCCGUCUCUUAUUAUCAAUUUAAAUAUUCAAUCAUAUUUUCCUAAUAAAUCAGCAUUUUCCUAUUUCUUGGAAUAUCAAUACUUUUGAUGAUGUUAUCAUGAAAUUAUCAAAUAGUGUAUUAUAUAAUCUCUUUUUGGAUGAAUGUGAUGAAUAUUUCCCCAGAUGAUUCGACGCUGAAAUAACUGAGCGCUCCUUUAUUUUCUUCCAUUCCGAGAAAAUUCAAGCCAAAAGUCUGAUCCGUCUCUUAUUAUCAAUUUAAAUAUUCAAUCAUAUUUUCCUAAUAAAUCAGCAUUUUCCUAUUUCUUGGAAUAUCAAUACUUUUGAUGAUGUUAUCAUGAAAUUAUCAAAUAGUGUAUUAUAUAAUCUCUUUUUGGAUGAAUGUGAUGAAUAUUUCCCCAGAUGAUUCGACGCUGAAAUAACUGAGCGCUCCUUUAUUUUCUUCCAUUCCGAGAAAAUUCAAGCUAAAAGUCUGAUCCGUCUCUUAUUAUCAAUUUAAAUAUUCAAUCAUAUUUUCCUAAUAAAUCAGCAUUUUCCUAUUUCGUGGAAUAUCAAUACUUUUGAUGAUGUUAUCAUGAAAUUAUCAAAUAGUGUAUUAUAUAAUCUCUUUUUGGAUGGAUGUGAUGAAUAUUUCCCCAGAUGAUUCGACGCUGAAAUAACUGAGUGCUCUUAUAUUUUCUCUCGUUACAGAGAAAAUCCAAGCCAAAGUUCUGAUCCAUCUUUAUAUUGUAUGAAAUAAUCCCCUUCCAUGAAAUAAUAUCCCAAUUUGUUAUAUUGGGACGUCUAUAAUAUAAAUCUCUAUUUUAGAUUAUAGAUAUUGGACUUAAUGGCAUAAUUUUAACCCGGAUGAUUUGAUUCUGAAAUAAUAGUAGAGGAACUCACGGUCGGAACCUUGGUGUAUACCACUGGAACUUCCGGUUGCAUUUUUCUUCUCAUUUGUUCGACGAAGGACUGGAUGUUGACGACUGGAUAGGGACGGCUACGGUGAAGGCGACAGCGAGAAGAUGAGAAGAACGCGGUUUCUUUUUCAAAUGAAUUGAAUUUGCCAAUGAUGUAAUUUUGGCUGUGCAAUGACCAUUACACUCCCGCCUUGUUAUUGUGAAGUAAAUUUGUGAUAGAGGGAACUAAUUUCUCCUUUAAAUUCGAAAAUUACAUGUAUUAAUACUAGACAUUGUUUUUUUUUAUCUUGUGGCUGUGAUUUGUUAUCUAGUUAUGUAGUUAAUAGGCACUUGCCCUA